rnacentral:rRNA from 1 species
AUUGAACGCUGGCGGCAGGCCUAACACAUGCAAGUCGAACGAGUGGCGGACGGGUGAGUAAUGUCUGGGAAACUGCCUGAUGGAGGGGGAUAACUACUGGAAACGGUAGCUAAUACCGCAUACUAUCGGAUGUGCCCAGAUGGGAUUAGCUAGUAGGUGGGGUAACGGCUCACCUAGGCGACGAUCCCUAGCUGGGCUGAGAGGAUGAGCAGCCACCCUGGAACUGAGACACGGUCCAGACUCCUACGGGAGGCAGCAGUGGGGAAUAUUGCACAAUGGGCGCAAGCCUGAUGCAGCCAUGCCGCGUGUAUGAAGAAGGCCUGAGGGUGGUAAAGUACUUUCAGCGGGGAGGCGUUACCCGCAGAAGAAGCACCGGCUAACUCCGUGCCAGCAGCCGCGGUAAUUC